GUCUGUCACAAAGUGCUUUUUUGAAUCUCUUUUAAAGAUUGGUGCCAAUUAUUUUUAAAUACUGUUGAUGUGAAUUAAUUACCCUUAUGCACUGUUCAACAUCAGAAAUGAUCUGAUUUAAGGAGCCCUUCGGCCUCAGUUGUGAAAGCUGUUUUUCCUUUCAACAUGUGCAAGGGUCUUGAACAAUGCACCUAUGACUCCCUGGUCAUAUCACCGGCGGCACAAACAUACAUCACAGAGGAAAUUAAGGCCAGCAGAAAAAUAUCAGCCCUCUCUGGCCCUGGUGGACCGGUGUAAUAACUGCAGAGCGGAUGUUUGAAGAGGCUUAUCUCUCUGUGUUGAUGCAUGUCAGCUUCAACUGUUCACAAAAAUGAUGAAGAGGGGUUUCAAAAAAAAGUCCUUGAUUUCAUGUCAACAUCGUCCUGUGAGGAUGCAAAGAACAGGAGACAAAUCUCUCUUGUAUGAACGUGUAAACAAGCACUGCUGUUUGGUUGAAGCCACCACGGUCCAAACACUUGAAUCAUGGAGGAGAUCAUUUCUGUUGUUUUUGUGUUUGCUGUUGAACGAGAGCGACUCUGAAGAUUCUUAGUCUCGUUAGGUCGUGUAAAAGCAGGAAAGAGGUUCUCAAUGUCGUUAGAAACAUCACUCCGUUCAGUCCUAGUUUCAUUUUGGCUCAUUGUGUUGCGAAGAAUGAAUGAAAUCAAAGAUGGAGGAUGGGUUUCCCGCCGUGAUUUAACCCUUUUGUUGGAGGAGUUUGCCCUCCUCUUCUCCAUUAGCAGCAUUUAAACACAAAUUUCCUCUUUGAUGCUGAAUGUGUCCUCAAUUAAAUUGAAGGGUGAUGAUGAACUGAA